AUGACACCAGGAAAGAGAACUCUCAGGGGAGCGACAGAAAGCAACACUGAUGAUAUUUCAGGAGAUGAUGAUUUGCAGUAGGACUCACGUGGCUUCUAGCCAAAGAGCAGGCCGAGUAGGCCUACCCAAACCUAGAGUACGAGAGGCAAGGUGGGGCCUGGUGCAGAAGAUGAAUAAUGUGUACUGGGAGACUCACCUCAAGGCAAAUUAAACUUCACUCAGGGGCAGAGGUGGAGUUUCUUACCAGCACAGAUAUUUUUAUGACCUCCGUUAUGUGCUUUUUUAAACCUUGAAAUGACUCAUCUCAACUGUGGCUGGAUUGACUUUGAGCGUUUGAGCAAUUUCUUCUGGACUGACCCAAGACAAAAGGAAACACACAGGGCCAUUGGACUCUGUGGGAGGGCUCCCGACCUGAGAGUUUCAUCAGUAAUCUGCUGGAGCAUGUGGUGAGCAAGUUUGCUUUGCAACUAAGAGUUCCUUAAGUAAAUGCUAGUGAGUAUUAUGUCAUUAUUUUUCUUGUAAUCAUUUCUGACUUUUAUGCCUCAUUACUUAUACUCACUUAAAAUCUCUCUCUUAUUGUUUCAUCUAAUCCAGUGUGUUUAAAUUGAAGUGUCUGGGUAACUAUUUAAGAUAAUCAACUGGCAUAUUAUUCAUUUAACGGAAUAACAGGCAAUAUAUUUGUACUCUCCAGGAGAGGGCUGGGCAAUGUAGGACAUACAUUUCUGGGGGAAGAUUUGGGAAUGAGGGUAAUGUUGGUGUCACCCUCCAGUAUAACGCAGGCUGGUGAGAGCCAGGGUAUAGCUGGCAGCCUGCAGUUACACCCAGACACUCAGGGUGUGGCUUGCACCCUGGAAGGUAGUUUGUGAUGGCCCAAGUGGGAGUUACUAUGGCAAGGCAUUGUAAGAUACCCAAGGUUGCAGGGCAGUAGUGACACAGCUCCCCACUAGUCUGGAUUGUGCCCUGGUAUGUCGUAGUGAAGGCUAAGAUUUUGUUACGCAUAUUUUUCAUAAAAGUCACAGACAGGUUUCUUUAUUGCCCGUGCCCUGUUUGUGACUUUUACUAAAAAAUAUGCAUGACAAAAUGGGGAGCUGAAAGCUCCCCACACCAUCCAGGCGUUCCUGGCUCAGAGCUGCAGGGUCCCCAUACCACAGGUGGCUCCAAGCUCGGGGCACCCCCGCCACCUGUGGUGGUUCUGACUCAGAGUUCCUGGGCACCCCUGGCCAGCCACGGCACUCCAUGCUCCCGGGCACUCCCACCAGCUACAAUGGCUCCAUGCUCUGGGGCACCCCCCACUGGCCGUGGGGCCAGGAACUGCACAGCACCCCUACUGCCCGUGGUGGCCGGGAGCUGCGGGGGGGGGGGGCACAGUUCCCAGUCGCCAGGGUGGCGGGGACCCUACAGCUCCCAGGCUCCAGAGGCUCAAGUCACAGAGGUCUUUGGUAAUCAUGGAUUCCGUGACUUCUGUUACCUCCAUGUCAAAGUCGUAGCCUUAGUCAUAGUCACUCGGGGAUAUGAAAAAUCCAGACCUCUGAGCACCAUAGGUAAGCCAACCUCACCCCUGGUGUAGGCACAGCAAGAUCAUCGGAAGACUGCUUCCUUCAACCUGCUUACCAUCCCUCAUGGAGAUAGUCUUUGUGCAGCGACAGAAAAACCCUUCUGUUGUUGUAAGCUGCGUCUAUGCUACAGGGUUAUGCUGGCAUAGCUAUGCUGAUAUAGUCCUCAUAGGGUAGACAUGGCUCCAGUGAAAUUUCAGUCUGGGCUGUGUUAUAAUUAAACUUAAAUCACCACAAUGACAAUGUGGAAUUAUAUUAGGAACCUUGCAUUCCUCAAAGGCCCCUCCAAUGUUGGGACACACCCUUUCCCCUCAUUAAGAUUAAAAUGCAGUAAGAUUGUGUGAUGUUAUAUGAUUAAAAUAUGACCAUAUAGAGCAUUGUUGCAACCACUGUUAUAUAUUUGCAGCAAACCUUGUACAAAGGUUGUCAAGUGAGGUGUCU